rnacentral:rRNA from 1 species
UACGAAGGGAGCUAGCGUUGUUCGGAAUCACUGGGCGUAAAGCGCACGUAGGCGGAUGUGUCAGUCAGGGGUGAAAUCCCGGAGCUCAACUUCGGAACUGCCUUUGAUACAGCACGUCUUGAGUCCGAUAGAGGUGGGUGGAAUUCCUAGUGUAGAGGUGAAAUUCGUAGAUAUUAGGAAGAACACCGGUGGCGAAGGCGGCCCACUGGAUCGGUACUGACGCUGAGGUGCGAAAGCGUGGGGAGCGAAACAGG